rnacentral:rRNA from 1 species
GGUUAAGCGACUAAGCGUACACGGUGGAUGCCCUGGCAGUCAGAGGCGAUGAAGGACGUGCUAAUCUGCGAUAAGCGUCGGUAAGGUGAUAUGAACCGUUAUAACCGGCGAUUUCCGAAUGGGGAAACCCAGUGUGUUUCGACACACUAUCAUUAACUGAAUCCAUAGGUUAAUGAGGCGAACCGGGGGAACUGAAACAUCUAAGUACCCCGAGGAAAAGAAAUCAACCGAGAUUCCCCCAGUAGCGGCGAGCGAACGGGGAGCAGCCCAGAGCCUGAAUCAGUGUGUGUGUUAGUGGAAGCGUCUGGAAAGGCGCGCGAUACAGGGUGACAGCCCCGUACACAAAAAUGCACAUGCUGUGAGCUCGAUGAGUAGGGCGGGACACGUGGUAUCCUGUCUGAAUAUGGGGGGACCAUCCUCCAAGGCUAAAUACUCCUGACUGACCGAUAGUGAACCAGUACCGUGAGGGAAAGGCGAAAAGAACCCCGGCGAGGGGAGUGAAAAAGAACCUGAAACCGUGUACGUACAAGCAGUGGGAGCACAGAGCAAUCUGUGUGACUGCGUACCUUUUGUAUAAUGGGUCAGCGACUUAUAUUCUGUAGCAAGGUUAACCGAAUAGGGGAGCCGAAGGGAAACCGAGUCUUAACUGGGCGUUAAGUUGCAGGGUAUAGACCCGAAACCCGGUGAUCUAGCCAUGGGCAGGUUGAAGGUUGGGUAACACUAACUGGAGGACCGAACCGACUAAUGUUGAAAAAUUAGCGGAUGACUUGUGGCUGGGGGUGAAAGGCCAAUCAAACCGGGAGAUAGCUGGUUCUCCCCGAAAGCUAUUUAGGUAGCGCCUCGUGAAUUCAUCUCCGGGGGUAGAGCACUGUUUCGGCAAGGGGGUCAUCCCGACUUACCAACCCGAUGCAAACUGCGAAUACCGGAGAAUGUUAUCACGGGAGACACACGGCGGGUGCUAACGUCCGUCGUGAAGAGGGAAACAACCCAGACCGCCAGCUAAGGUCCCAAAGUCAUGGUUAAGUGGGAAACGAUGUGGGAAGGCCCAGACAGCCAGGAUGUUGGCUUAGAAGCAGCCAUCAUUUAAAGAAAGCGUAAUAGCUCACUGGUCGAGUCGGCCUGCGCGGAAGAUGUAACGGGGCUAAACCAUGCACCGAAGCUGCGGCAGCGACGCUUAUGCGUUGUUGGGUAGGGGAGCGUUCUGUAAGCCUGUGAAGGUGUACUGUGAGGUAUGCUGGAGGUAUCAGAAGUGCGAAUGCUGACAUAAGUAACGAUAAAGCGGGUGAAAAGCCCGCUCGCCGGAAGACCAAGGGUUCCUGUCCAACGUUAAUCGGGGCAGGGUGAGUCGACCCCUAAGGCGAGGCCGAAAGGCGUAGUCGAUGGGAAACAGGUUAAUAUUCCUGUACUUGGUGUUACUGCGAAGGGGGGACGGAGAAGGCUAUGUUGGCCGGGCGACGGUUGUCCCGGUUUAAGCGUGUAGGCUGGUUUUCCAGGCAAAUCCGGAAAAUCAAGGCUGAGGCGUGAUGACGAGGCACUACGGUGCUGAAGCAACAAAUGCCCUGCUUCCAGGAAAAGCCUCUAAGCAUCAGGUAACAUCAAAUCGUACCCCAAACCGACACAGGUGGUCAGGUAGAGAAUACCAAGGCGCUUGAGAGAACUCGGGUGAAGGAACUAGGCAAAAUGGUGCCGUAACUUCGGGAGAAGGCACGCUGAUAUGUAGGUGAAGCGACUUGCUCGUGGAGCUGAAAUCAGUCGAAGAUACCAGCUGGCUGCAACUGUUUAUUAAAAACACAGCACUGUGCAAACACGAAAGUGGACGUAUACGGUGUGACGCCUGCCCGGUGCCGGAAGGUUAAUUGAUGGGGUUAGCGCAAGCGAAGCUCUUGAUCGAAGCCCCGGUAAACGGCGGCCGUAACUAUAACGGUCCUAAGGUAGCGAAAUUCCUUGUCGGGUAAGUUCCGACCUGCACGAAUGGCGUAAUGAUGGCCAGGCUGUCUCCACCCGAGACUCAGUGAAAUUGAACUCGCUGUGAAGAUGCAGUGUACCCGCGGCAAGACGGAAAGACCCCGUGAACCUUUACUAUAGCUUGACACUGAACAUUGAGCCUUGAUGUGUAGGAUAGGUGGGAGGCUUUGAAGUGUGGACGCCAGUCUGCAUGGAGCCGACCUUGAAAUACCACCCUUUAAUGUUUGAUGUUCUAACGUUGACCCGUAAUCCGGGUUGCGGACAGUGUCUGGUGGGUAGUUUGACUGGGGCGGUCUCCUCCUAAAGAGUAACGGAGGAGCACGAAGGUUGGCUAAUCCUGGUCGGACAUCAGGAGGUUAGUGCAAUGGCAUAAGCCAGCUUGACUGCGAGCGUGACGGCGCGAGCAGGUGCGAAAGCAGGUCAUAGUGAUCCGGUGGUUCUGAAUGGAAGGGCCAUCGCUCAACGGAUAAAAGGUACUCCGGGGAUAACAGGCUGAUACCGCCCAAGAGUUCAUAUCGACGGCGGUGUUUGGCACCUCGAUGUCGGCUCAUCACAUCCUGGGGCUGAAGUAGGUCCCAAGGGUAUGGCUGUUCGCCAUUUAAAGUGGUACGCGAGCUGGGUUUAGAACGUCGUGAGACAGUUCGGUCCCUAUCUGCCGUGGGCGCUGGAGAACUGAGGGGGGCUGCUCCUAGUACGAGAGGACCGGAGUGGACGCAUCACUGGUGUUCGGGUUGUCAUGCCAAUGGCACUGCCCGGUAGCUAAAUGCGGAAGAGAUAAGUGCUGAAAGCAUCUAAGCACGAAACUUGCCCCGAGAUGAGUUCUCCCUGACUCCUUGAGAGUCCUGAAGGAACGUUGAAGACGACGACGUUGAUAGGCCGGGUGUGUAAGCGCAGCGAUGCGUUGAGCUAACCGGUACUAAUGAACCGUGAGGCUUAACCUU